rnacentral:rRNA from 1 species
GAUGAACGCUGGCGGCGUGCCUAAUACAUGCAAGUCGAGCGAACGGACGAGAAGCUUGCUUCUCUGAUGUUAGCGGCGGACGGGUGAGUAACACGUGGAUAACCUACCUAUAAGACUGGGAUAACUUCGGGAAACCGGAGCUAAUACCGGAUGAUAUUUUGAACCGCAUGGUUCAAAAGUGAAAGACGGUCUUGCUGUCACUUAUAGAUGGAUCCGCGCUGCAUUAGCUAGUUGGUAAGGUAACGGCUUACCAAGGCAACGAUGCAUAGCCGACCUGAGAGGGUGAUCGGCCACACUGGAACUGAGACACGGUCCAGACUCCUACGGGAGGUAGCAGUAGGGAAUCUUCCGCAAUGGGCGAAAGCCUGACGGAGCAACGCCGCGUGAGUGAUGAAGGUCUUCGGAUCGUAAAACUCUGUUAUUAGGUAAGAACAUAUGUGUAAGUAACUGUGCACAUCUUGACGGUACCUAAUCAGAAAGCCACGGCUAACUACGUG